UUGUUUUGACCCAAUAAUUAAUUAUGGAUGUUGCCUGUCAAAGUAGUUUUUAUCGAUAUUUUUGGAAAACUAGGAUGCAGAUUUAACAAUAUGUUAGUUGGGAAAUAAUUGACAUUUUGAAACUUUACCAGGAAUGUUGAAAAAUAGAAAAGAAAUUUAUUAUAGGGGUGGAUUAGCAACCAGCCCUUUAAAUUUGGGUUUCUUCGAUAAGAACUAUUCCCACACUACUUUU
rnacentral:lncRNA from 1 species